rfam:Dipodomys ordii contig_19765, whole genome shotgun sequence.
AUCUUUUUUUUGGUUCAUAAGCAUGAUGGUUGAGUUCUCACGUGCUUGUGUGACUUGUGCCUCUCUCUAAACCUAGUUACAACCUGGGCACAUUACCCAUCUGACA